GCAGCAUUAUGACGAUUACACAGUCAUACCAGUCACGGUUAAUUCUGUUCAGGUAUUAUUCCCCAAAGAGAUUUCCAAUUGUCAAGAGUUCGAGUCACAAGAUACAUUGGCUCAGGGACAAAAGGAAAGGUUGGCAUACCAUCAUUAUUCAAAAAAGGCUGGCAUGGCAUCUUCACCAAUUUUAUAGCAACCUUUAAUAAAUCUCAUGUACAAGUAUGAUAGGAUCUGUUUAUGAGAGCGUUGUUGCGUAUGGACAAAGUUAAUAGGAGUAUUACUUAAUUAAGUUUUGAUUAUUGCAGUUGACAAGUAUUCAUGACAAAUUCUGUACACAGAUCGUGCUAUAUGUUGGUUGAGUUGAGUGUGGAAAAAAAAAUUACGAUACAAUUUUUUAUAACACUUUUUUCGGUGUAGAAAGAAUGAAAAACAGUUAUUAUUUUUAUUGUGAAUCAA